AUUCUAAUAAGUGGCAGUAUCAUAGCCAAUGAGGUGAAUCCGAGGCGUGAUUAUUGCUAGUUGAAAAUAUUUUUCUGAGAUGGGGCAACCAGAACUGCAUGCAGUAUUCAAGGUAUGGGCUUAGAUUUAUAUAGUGGCAUUAUGAUGC
rnacentral:snRNA from 1 species